rnacentral:rRNA from 1 species
GACGGGGCCCGCACAAGCGGUGGAGCAUGUGGUUUAAUUCGAUGCAACGCGAAGAACCUUACCUGGGCUUGACAUCCCGGGAAUCCCUUGGAAACAAGGGAGUGCCUUCGGGGAACCUGGAGACAGGUGCUGCAUGGCUGUCGUCAGCUCGUGUCGUGAGAUGUAGGGUUAAGUCCCGCAACGAGCGCAACCCUUGUCUUUAAUUGCCAUCAUUGAGUUGGGCACUUUAAAGAGACUGCCGGUGUUAAACCGGAGGAAGUGGGGAUGACGUCAAAUCAUCAUGCCCCUUAUGACCUGGGCUACACACGUGCUACAAUGGUUGGUACAACGAGUUGCGAGUCGGUGACGGCGAGCUAAUCUCUUAAAGCCAAUCUCAGUUCGGAUUGAGGGCUGCAACUCGCCCUCAUGAAGCUGGAAUCCGUAGUAAUCGCGUUUCAACAGAACGCGGUGAAUACGUCCCUGCUCCUU